GACAGUUGCUUAUUCUGGCCUUGACUUAUGAUCCUUCUGUCUCAGCCUCCCAAGUGGCUGGGAUUACAGAUGUGUACCUGGCUCUAAUGGUCAUAUUCUUUAAAAUAUUUUUUAAACAGAGGACUAUGGGAUCCAGCUUCUACCUUGGCCAUGGCAACUGAGAUCAAAGCAUGUGAGCAGGCUCCAGAGAGAAGACAGAUACCCACAGCGCUGCCACCAGACUACCCAGGAUGCAGGAAUUUCAAUAUGAAGCAGCGCCUUUAUGAACCAAGCACAGUAUUUAUCUCAGCGUGGCUCCGUCUAUAUAGUAAUAUUAUCUUCAUUGUGAAGGAAGGAAGCUACAGGAAUGAACCACCUUGGGG